ensembl:ncRNA mir-314 mir-314 stem loop
UCGUAACUUGUGUGGCUUCGAACUUACCUAGUUGAGGAAAACUCCCAUGUCGGAUUUUGUUACCUCUGGUAUUCGAGCCAAUAAGUUCGG